rnacentral:lncRNA from 1 species
CCCUUCUCUUCCAGACCAUCAACAGCAACUGAGCGGCGGCGGCGGCGGUGGUGGGACCAAUAAAGCUGCGCUCUGGCUGCACGCGCCUCCCUCCCGCGUGGUCUCUCGGUCGCGGCCCCCGCGAGAGCAAGGGCGCAAGCGGCACGCGCGUGUGUGUGCAUGCAUGCCGCCGGGCACACACACCGCCAGGUGUGCGCAUGCACAUUGCACGUGCACGUUGCACACGCACCUCUGGGCAUGCACAUUGCACAUGCACAUUGCACGUGCACGUUGUGCAUGCACCUCUGGGCAUGCACAUUGCACACGCAUUAUUGCGCAAGCACCUCUGGGCGUGCACAUUGCACAUGCACAUUGCACAUGCGCACACACCUCUGGGUGUGAACAUGCCCUUUGCACAUGCAUAUUGCAUGCGCACACACCACCGGGCAUGCACAUUGCACACGCAUAUUGCACGUGCACGCACACCACCAGGUGUGAACAUGCACAUUGCACAUGCAUAUUGCACGUGCACACGCACCGCUGGGCAUGGACAUGCACAUUGCACAUGCAUAUUGCACGUGCACGCACCACUGGGCGUGAGCAUGCACUUUGCACAUGCACAUUACACCUGCACACACACCGCCGGGCGUGCACACGCACAUUGCACACGCAUAUUGCACAUGCACACGCACCGCCGGGCAUGCACACACACAUCGCACGUGCACAGCCGUGCGUGCCCAUGCGCAUCACGCAGGCAGGCACACGCGUGCACACACACACAGAGCCCGGCACGUGCACGGCUAUCGCACGGGCGUGCAAGCGCAUGCGCAGAGCCCGCUGUGCGUGCACGAGGAUAUUGCAGGGUGCGCACACGUGUGCGCACGCAGCCGUGCAGGCACGUGCAUUCUGCACAGGCCCCGCCGUGCUCGCACACGCACACUGCACGGGCGCACGCGCACCUCUUGCGCAGCCCCGCGCGCGCACACGCAGCCCCGGCGAGACCGGCUCCGUUUGCCAGCAGGUGGCACUGGAGGAACGAGCCCGGAAACCUUGGUGGGCGCCCGGCACCCACCCACGGGYGGCCUGUGGGGCCCCUGGUCCCGGCCGGAGGCGCCGCGCACCCAUCCCUGCACCCGGCACGGGAGGAGAGGCCGGGGACGCCGGGGACACCCGGGUCCCAAAGGGAUGGGGCAGCCCUGGAGACACCCCCGGGCCUGGAGAUACCCGGGCACCACGGGGACGGGCACACGGACACGCCCAGACACCACGGGGAUGGGCACAUGGAUGUGCCUGGGCACCACAGGGACAGGCACACGGGCGUGCCCAGACACCACGGGGAUGGGCACAUGGAUGUGCCCAGAUACCACGGGGAUGGGCAUGUGGAUGUGCCCGGGCACCACAGGGACGGGCACACAGGCAUGCCCAGACACCACGGGGAUGGGCACAUGGAUGUGCCCAGGUACCACGGGGAUGGGCACAUGGAUGUGCCCAGAUACCACAGGGACGGGCACACGGGCGUGCCCAAACACCACAGGGAUGGGCACAUGGAUGUGCCCAGAUACCACGGGGAUGGGCACAUGGAUGUGCCAGGGCACCACAGGGACGGGCACACAGGCGUGCCCAGACACCACGGGAACGGGCACACAGGCGUGCCCAAACACCACGGGGAUGGGCACAUGGACAUGCCCAGNNNNNNNNNNNNNNNNNNNNNNNNN